UUAAAUUCCCAAUUUAUUUUUACCUAUAAAUUCUUUUUCCAAAUCAACUGAAAUUAUUUUUCCCAGCUGUUCAAAAUCAAAUCAAAUGUGUUCAGAAAAAUAUCCACGAACCAAAAUAUAUACAAUAACAGAUCACCUCCAUCCUUAAGAUGAGUAAAUUUAAGAAUAACAGAUCAAAAUCUCAAUUUCAAUAAUUUUGUAAACAACUUAAAUUUACUGUGAUAAUUUAAUCGGAUGCUUACAGCUUGUCAUAUUAUUCAGGCCACGGUUUAAGAAGCUAUGCCCUAAAUCUCGAUUUCAAUUUGAUUUUCAAUCGUUAUAUUCAAAAUCUCACUACCGACUGAAUGUGUUCGGAGAAGAAGAAGAAGCCCAAUUCGAUUUGAUUUUCAAUCGUUCCCUAAAUCUCCAUUUCAAAUGAACGAUUUGAUUUUUCAAUUGUUAUAUUCGAAAUCUCAUCACCGACUGAAUGUGUUCGGAGAAGAAGAAGAAGCCCAAUUCGAUUUGACUUUCAAUCGUUCCCUAAAUCUCGAUUUCAAGUGAACAAUUUGAUUUUCAAUCGUUAUAUUCGAGUGUUUGAGUCUCUGAACAGAGAUGGCUUUAAGGCACCUAAUUACAAGUUUUUUCUUGAUAAAGAUUGUCUUUUAUUUUUGGAAUAUGGAUGCAUUGUUAGAGAUUAUGUCAAUGGGUAGUUUUAAGAUUUAAUUUUGUUUAUUGAUUGUGGGAACACUAAUUUCAGUUCUUUGGUCUGAUUGUGUCUUUGUGAUUUCACUAAUUGAAUUUCUUUUGUUGAAAGAGCUGCAUUUUUGCAUCUUUUGUUAAAAAUCAAAUUGUGAGAUUUAGGGAUGCAUUAAUUUUAUGAAAGGUUUGUACUUAUUGGAAAUUUUACGCAACAUUGGUUUUGAUAUUGAGUUUAAUGUAGUUGGGAAGGAUAUAGAAUUAUUACAAAAUGCCUGAGUAAGAUAAAAAAAACUACCUUUAGUGAGAAAUUUUCCUUUAUUUUUUCAAGUUUAGUUUUGAAAUCUAGAAAGGUUUUGAUUGAAAAUUGGAUUGAGCUGGAAGCUAGGGAAGAAUUUUGUUGACAUAUUGAGAAGCUUUCUAAUAUAGAGAGAGAAACCAGCAUUAACAUCAGUAUACAUGUUGAUUUGGGAAAAAUAACUUCAUAUAUAGCUGUAGAUGACAACUCCCUCAUGUCUCAUUCCUGAGUUCCUCUUCUUGUUGAUGCCUUUCGUGAUAGGUUGAAUGAUCUUUUAAUGCGUUACUGAUCUCAUACAAUUUAGCAUCAAGAUCAUCGCCCGAGAAUUUUUUUAGACAGUUUGGAAAUAUAUUUGUAUGACAAGAAGAUAUUGAAGGAUUUGUGUUUUUCUUUUUUUCUUCAUAAACAUUGGUUUUUGAUUUCUGGGUUUCCGAAGAAGCAAUACAAGGUUUCAGUUAGAGCCGCAAUCUCUGUAUCUUCACUAUGUUUUGGCAUCGUUCAGGCCCCUUACAUAUUCAGAAAUUCUGAAGAUGCUUCAGUUAUGGGGCCUUUUGGAUUUUGAUGUGAAAAUAUUCUUCCCCCAUGAUUUUCAUAGUCUUCCUCUAGGCUACCAUAAACAAAAAAGUAAGGAAUAUGAAUUCACUCACAUGUAUUGACAUGACAAGUACUAUUAUACAAAUCAUAUAUUUACAAAAUGUGUGUUGAUCAAGCUCUAAAAUAAAAUUACUGAACGUUUGUUUUGUUGAUGGUUUUCUAUAAUGCUAUCCUAUCUAGAGGUUUCUUCUUUGUUUCUUGUAGCUUUAUUGGUCAGUUCAUGUAAUGAGGCGAGUCUGUAUUUUUUUCUCGCCUGAGAUGUACACAUAAUGUGAUUAUCGGAAAUUCAAAUAAAUUUUAUACAUGGUUCUCUACUCUUGGA